rnacentral:rRNA from 1 species
AACGUAGGUCACAAGCGUUGUCCGGAAUUACUGGGUGUAAAGGGAGCGCAGGCGGGGGAACAAGUUGGAAGUGAAAUCCAUGGGCUCAACCCAUGAACUGCUUUCAAAACUGUUUUUCUUGAGUAGUGCAGAGGUAGGCGGAAUUCCCGGUGUAGCGGUGGAAUGCGUAGAUAUCGGGAGGAACACCAGUGGCGAAGGCGGCCUACUGGGCACCAACUGACGCUGAGGCUCGAAAGUGUGGGUAGCAAACAGG